CAGUUUUAAUGUUGUGAAUGUAUCUGCCUUGAAAAUAGCAAGGGAAGCCACCAAGUGUCAAGAAAAUUAAUUUAUGUUACACCUUUUUAUACUGUCAAAAAUGCCAGUUGCAAUUUCAGCAAAAUAUUUAAAGCAUGGAUUGGCUUUUUGCCCUAACUUGGGUGUUAAAAUGUUUGUUAAGAUGUUUAGAGGGGUAAGUACCUGCAGAUUACUGUAAGUAUUUGUAUUAUACUAUGGGGCAGUUAGUAUAAGUGGCAAUUUAUAAGUUCAACAGUAAAUGUAAACGUUCUUUACAUCUAGGAUUUUUGAGUUGCAAGUUAAACAGAAUUUUUCCUGCAGUGGAGAGGAAGAGCAUAGCAGACAGAAUAACAGCAAGAUGCAGUGAAUUUCUGACCAGAGAAACAGAAUUCAGGCUUGGAGGAAACACUUGACUCCAUAUCCUGGGAAUUGAACUAGAAUUGAAGCCAGACAUCUUCAGCUAGGCUAGUCUUUAAUAGAUGCUAAGUCUCCAGUUGUUCACUGCUCACAAGGAGCUGGAAGGAGUAAGUAUCUCUUCAGUUCUUUUGCCUGGAGUUUUUCUCUCCAAAAGCACUACCAGGUAUAGUUGACCUAACUUUGAGAGUAAGUGUGAUGAAGCUAAUUUACAAACAACUGACCUCUGAAGUUUACAUAUUUUACAUACAUUUUAGACACUUAAUGGCUUUUGUUACAUUUUUAUAAUGCUGUUAUUGUGCCCUGGUAUGAAUAUCUAAAAUAAAUAUUCUAGUUAUCACCCUACCAAUCAAGACUGUUUUAAGCUAUUCUAGUGACAAAAAAUGACAGCUUGAGGAAAUUAAAAAUUACAAAAUGUGCUGCUAGAAUUUUUUUAAAAAGUGUUUCAGGUGAGCCUUUUUGUGUACCUCCUGGGGAAGUGAGGUAUGCAGCUUCAUUUCUUUGUGAUCUACAUCCUGGAUUUGGGGGCAGAAGGAGAUAAUCAGCUUGGCUUAUUAGUUUUUCAAGACUGGUAAUAUUUCAAACUUUUCAGGGGGAAACAAAAGUCAGCCUUGAUUUCUUGAAGUUAACUUCUGGUCUUAGAAGUCAAUUUGUCUUUUAAAAUAUUAACACACAUUGUGUAAUCUACCCUCCUUCCUCCCCCAAGGAAAACAAACUCAGGGAAAGUAAUUAUAAGGGCAGUUGAAAAUUUUCUAUAGGGUUGUUAGAGGCUUCCCAGCCCAUUAUCCUGUACACAGGAGCAUACAACAAAGUGACAGCACCUCAGGUUUGCCUGAGUGAAGUCCUCAAUUCCAGCCAUAUACAGUGUGACACCACUGAAUGCCACAUGAAAAACUAAAUCAAGCUUUAGUCACUGGUUUUCAUUUACUUCCCAUGACAGCUGGUAGUCUUCAAACUGUCUUCACUUUCAAAAGUCAAAAAAAGUAUAUAAAUAUAUAGAGCAACAGUUUGACUUGGCUAGGAAUAUUUAUAAAUGAAACCAAAAAUAAUUUACCUGGACCACAGAAUGAAUUUUUGUCAUGUUUUUCAUUUAAGUCCCCAGCACCUGGAGUGUAGCACAUUCUAACACUGGGCUUCUAAAGGCAUGCAGGUUUUCAUACACAUCUACUUCAGAGAACAUAGCAUAAUCAAGAAAAAUAUAUUUUUGGAGGCACAGAAGAGCACAAGAACAAUUGAGUAUACGCUGAGGCCUUAUGUCCAAGCUGCUACAUUUUAUGCAUAGUCUGUGUAUGCCAUUGAAAGUGCUGUUCAAGAAAAGACAGUCUUAACAUUAACACACAACUGCACUGCUAAAUACGGUUGUCUUUAUUUUAUUUUUUUCUUGCCCAGCCCUAUCUAAACAUAAAAUAAAACUAUAGGACUGAAAUUAACAACCCAUUAAAAUCAGCAAUAAGUUAUGAAAAUCAUAAAGCUUUUUUUUUUUUAAGUAAUUAAGGGCAGUUAAAUUAUUU